rfam:Mus musculus chromosome 6 genomic contig, GRC reference assembly alternate locus group NOD/ShiLtJ.
UGCUUUAUCAAUUUCUACAGCACAUAUAUAAAAUUGGAAAGAUACAGAAAAGAUUAGCAUGGCCCCUGUUCAAGGGGGGUCUAUUUUAUUUAUUUUUUUUGUACUUCAUU